rnacentral:rRNA from 1 species
AACGAACGCUGGCGGCAGGCUUAAUACACGCAAGUCGAGCGGGCACUUCGGUGUCAGCGGCGGACGGGUGAGUAACGCGUGGGAACAUACCCAAAGGUACGGAAUAGCCUCGGGAAACUGGGAGUAAUACCGUAUGUGCUCGAAAGAGGAAAGAUUUAUCGCCUUUGGAUUGGCCCGCGUUGGAUUAGGUAGUUGGUGGGGUAAUGGCCUACCAAGCCGACGAUCCAUAGCUGGUUUGAGAGGAUGAUCAGCCACACUGGGACUGAGACACGGCCCAGACUCCUACGGGAGGCAGCAGUGGGGAAUCUUAGACAAUGGGGGAAACCCUGAUCUAGCCAUGCCGCGUGAUCGAUGAAGGCCUUAGGGUUGUAAAGAUCUUUCAGGUGGGAAGAUAAUGACUGUACCACCAGAAGAAGCCCCGGCUAACUCCGUGCCAGCAGCCGCCGUAA